CGCGUGAGCAACCUGCCUUUAUCAGGGGGAUAACGCAUCGAAAGAUGUGCUAAUACCGCGUAAGACCACAGCUUCACAUGGAGCGGGGGUCAAAGGAGCAAUCCGGAUAAAGAUGGGCUCGCGUCCGAUUAGCUAGUUGGUGAGAUAACAGCCCACCAAGGCGACGAUCGGUAGCCGACCUGAGAGGGUGAUCGGCCACAUUGGAACUGAGAGACGGUCCAG
rnacentral:rRNA from 1 species